rnacentral:rRNA from 1 species
GACGAACGCUGGCGGCGCGCUUAACACAUGCAAGUCGAACGGAAAGGCCUGCUUUCCCUUGUGGAUUGCGGGUACUCGAGUGGCGAACGGGUGAGUAACACGUGAGUGAUCUGCCCCCAACUUGGGUAUAAGCCUGGGAAACCGGGUCUAAUUCCCGAUAGGACUGCAGGGUGGUUCCUGUGGUGGAAAACGAUUUUCUCGUGGUUGGGGAUGAGCUCGCGGCCUAUCAGCUCGUUGGUGGGGUAAUGGCCUGCCAAUGCGGCGACGGGUAGCCGGCCUGAGAGGGUGGACGGCGACAUUGGGACAGAGUACCGACCCAGACUCAUACGGGAGGCAGCAGUGGGGAGUAUAGCAACAUGAGCGGAAGACUGAUGCAGCGACGCCGCGUAGGGGAUGACGGCCUUCGGGUAGUAAACUGCUGGCGACCGAGAGGAAGCCACAUGGUUGGAAGGGUGGUGACGGUAGUGGUAGAAGAAGCACCGGCUAACUACGUG